GCGAUAAACAAAAUUUGUUGGUGAAUUUGUUAGUAAUUAUUGACAGACAAAUUCUGUUAAUAAAUCCAUUAGUAAAAAGUGCAAAAAUUUCCUACCCACUUUUCUCUCUUUUCACGAGCUACGUUUUUUCUUUCUCUCUUUCUCACGUGAGGUCUUCAUUUUCUUGUCUCACGUGAGGCAACCCUAUCUUCCCACAUUUCUCCCAUCUCAACUUAAACCACCACUCGGAGCAUUUUUGCACGCCACAAUCUCUUUUUUCAAGCACAUAUAAUCAUCACAUGUGACAAAGGGAGAACGUCUUUGUUGCGAAACCCAGAAGGAGUUAUGUAGGAAUGAUGAAAGAGCAGCAUAGAUAUUGAAUUGACCAUAUAUGUGUUUCAAAACUUACAAGAAAGAACAAAAUCCCAUGGUUGGAAUUUCUUGAUUAGCAUGGUCGUGGCCUGGUGUGCUGUUG
rnacentral:lncRNA from 1 species